rnacentral:rRNA from 1 species
GAUGAACGCUAGCGAUAGGCUUAACACAUGCAAGUCGAGGGGCAGCAUGGUCUUAGCUUGCUAAGGCUGAUGGCGACCGGCGCACGGGUGCGUAACGCGUAUGCAACUUGCCUCACAGAGGGGGAUAACCCGGCGAAAGACGGACUAAUACCGCGUACACUCUAUGUUGGGCAUCCAAUGUAGAGGAAAUGAAAUUCGCUGUGAGAUAGGCAUGCGUCCCAUUAGCUAGUUGGUGAGGUAACGGCUCACCAAGGCGACGAUGGGUAGGGGAACUGAGAGGGUGAACCCCCACACUGGUACUAUGCCACGGACCAGACUCCUACGGGAGGCAGCAGUUAGGAAUAUUGGUCAAUGGGCGAGAGCCUGAACCAGCCAAGUCGCGUGAAGGAUGACUGUCUUAUGGAUUGUAAACUUCUUUUAUACAAGAAUAACAAGAGUCACGUGUGGCUCCCUGCAUGUACCGUAUGAAUAAGCAUCGGCUAACUGCGUG